AAAUUGAAGAGUUUGAUCAUGGCUCAGAUUGAACGCUGGCGGCAGGCCUAACACAUGCAAGUCGAACGGUAGCACAGAGAGCUUGCUCUCGGGUGACGAGUGGCGGACGGGUGAGUAAUGUCUGGGAAACUGCCUGAUGGAGGGGGAUAACUACUGGAAACGGUGGCUAAUACCGCAUAACGUCGCAAGACCAAAGAGGGGGACCUUCGGGCCUCUUGCCAUCAGAUGUGCCCAGAUGGGAUUAGCUUGUUGGUGAGGUAACGGCUUACCAAGGCGACGAUCCCUAGCUGGUCUGAGAGGAUGACCAGCCACACUGGAACUGAGACACGGUCCAGACUCCUACGGGAGGCAGCAGUGGGGAAUAUUGCACAAUGGGCGCAAGCCUGAUGCAGCCAUGCCGCGUGUAUGAAGAAGGCCUUCGGGUUGUAAAGUACUUUCAGCGGGGAGGAAGGUGUUGUG
rnacentral:rRNA from 1 species